rnacentral:hammerhead_ribozyme from 1 species
AUCCUGCCAACGAAUCCUAAAUUGAACGAAACGCGCGUCCUGGAU